rnacentral:rRNA from 1 species
UACGUAGGGUGCGAGCGUUGUCCGGAAUUACUGGGCGUAAAGAGUUCGUAGGCGGCUUGUUGCGUCGACUGUGAAAACCCGCGGCUUAACCGCGGGCUUGCAGUUGAUACGGGCAGGCUAGAGUUCGGUAGGGGAGACUGGAAUUCCUGGUGUAGCGGUGAAAUGCGCAGAUAUCAGGAGGAACACCGGUGGCGAAGGCGGGUCUCUGGGCCGAUACUGACGCUGAGGAGCGAAAGCGUGGGGAGCGAACAGG